UCGAGAAUUUUUCUCAAUGGGGGAAACCCUGAAGGAGCGACGCCGCGUGGAGGAUGAAGGCUUUCGGGUUGUAAACUCCUGUCAUUUGAGAACAAAACACACGUGUUAACUGCACGAGUGUUGAUAGUAUCAGAAGAGGAAGGGACGGCUAACUCUGUGCCAGCAGCCGCGGUAAUACAGAGGUCCCAAGCGUUGUUCGGAUUCAUUGGGCGUAAAGGGUGCGUAGGUGGCGCCGUAAGUCGGGUGUGAAAUCUCGGGGCUUAACUCCGAAACUGCAUUCGAUACUGCGGUGCUUGAGGACUGGAGAGGAGACUGGAAUUCAUGGUGUAGCAGUGAAAUGCGUAGAGAUCAUGAGGAAGACCAGUGGCGAAGGCGGGUCUCUGGACAGUUCCUGACACUGAGGCACGAAGGCCAGGGGAGCAAACGG
rnacentral:rRNA from 1 species